GAUGAACGCUGGCGGCGUGCCUAAUACAUGCAAGUCGAGCGAACAGAUGAGGAGCUUGCUCCUCUGACGUUAGCGGCGGACGGGUGAGUAACACGUGGAUAACCUACCUAUAAGACUGGGAUAACUUCGGGAAACCGGAGCUAAUACCGGAUAAUAUAUUGAACCGCAUGGUUCAAUAGUGAAAGACGGUUUUGCUGUCACUUAUAGAUGGAUCCGCGCCGCAUUAGCUAGUUGGUAAGGUAACGGCUUACCAAGGCAACGAUGCGUAGCCGACCUGAGAGGGGGAUGGGCCACACUGGACCUGAGAACCGGUCAAGAUUCCUACGGGAGGAAGCAGUAGGGAAUCUUCCGCAAUGGGCGAAAGCCUGACGGAGCAACGCCGCGUGAGUGAUGAAGGUCUUCGGAUCGUAAAACUCUGUUAUUAGGGAAGAACAAAUGUGUAAGUAACUAUGCACGUCUUGACGGUACCUAAUCAGAAAGCCACGGCUACUACGUG
rnacentral:rRNA from 1 species